GAUGAACGCUGGCGGCGUGCCUAAUACAUGCAAGUCGAGCGAACGGACGAGAAGCUUGCUUCUCUGAUGUUAGCGGCGGACGGGUGAGUAACACGUGGAUAACCUACCUAUAAGACUGGGAUAACUUCGGGAAACCGUAGCUAAUACCGGAUAAUAUUUUGAACCGCAUGGUUCAAAAGUGAAAGACGGGCUUGCUGUCACUUAUAGAUGGAUCCGCGCUGCAUUAGCUAGUUGGUAAGGUAACGGCUUACCAAGGCAACGAUGCAUAGCCGACCUGAGAGGGGGAUAGGCCACACUGGAACUGAGACACGGUCCCGACUCCUACGGGAGGCAGCAGUAGGGAAUCUUCCGCAAUGGGCGAAAGCCUUACGGAGCAACGCCGCGUGAGUGAUGACGGUCUUCGGAUCGUAAAACUCUGUUAUUAGGGAAGAACAUAUGUGUAAGUAACUGUGCACAUCUUGACGGUACCUACUCAGAAAGCCACGGCUAACUACGUG
rnacentral:rRNA from 1 species